rnacentral:rRNA from 1 species
UGCGUAGGCGGAAUAUUAAGUCAGUGGUGAAAUCCUGCGGCUCAACCGUAGAACUGCCAUUGAUACUGAUAUUCUUGAAUUUAGUUGAGGUAGGCGGAAUGUGUAAUGUAGCGGUGAAAUGCUUAGAUAUUACACAGAACACCGAUUGCGAAGGCAGCUUACUAAGCUAUGAUUGACGCUGAGGUACGAAAGCGUGGGGAGCGAACAGGAUUAGAUACCCUGGUAGUCC